rnacentral:lncRNA from 1 species
GUGUGUGAGACGGGCCUGAGUGUGGCUGGGGCCAGAGAUGUGGAGUACAGGGACCUGUGCCUCUGGGCAUUCCCUGGAGUCAACAUGCCCGAGUGCUGUGAACGUUAUGAGAGGGCCUUGUUGGGAACACGUGCUCCUGGGAAUCAGCCCUUCCCUCUGUCCUGUUCCCACUCCUCCCCGACGAUGCUCCUGCUCAGAACCCACUCCUCACCUCAGUGAAGCAACGCAGCGGGCACCCUGUGGACAAAGCUGGAUAUUGGCUCUGAAUAAAAGCGAAUCAUGGGGAAAAUCAGUGUCUCAGUAAAAUGGGGUUUUCUUAGUAGAGACCAGACUGUGAAGGACCUUGCUUCAUUCCAUCUUUGAGGAGGAUGAUGAUUCAGGGACAUUGGCCCAAGAUCAAAGUGGUAUUUUUAGGUUGUAUUUACUUAGCUAUUUGCCGUCUACCUCCUUAUUUCCAGGUAGCAACUUCCUUCUUAUAUCUGAGAUGUUUAAGAGAUGAUGAAACCAGCUUGCACACACUUCUCAAAGUGUGUUUGUUCGCAUCCAUUAUUUCACUGGGGACCGGCUAUUAUCCUCUCCAUUUUCUUUAUAAGGAUAUUGAAAGAGAGAUUAAAUAACUUGUUCAAGGCCGCAUAGCUAGUUAACAGCUGAACUAGGCUUAAAACCAACGUCUGAAGGCUCCUAUUCCAGUGGCAGCUGCUGUGUGCUUCUUCUGUUUUCCAUCAGUUUGGAAGGGAGCAUAAAGUCUACAGCCACAUGGGUGGGGUCAGCAGAAAGAUUGACCACCAAGCCUGAGGCAGGUGAGGCUGAUCUCCUGGGCACAGCCUCUCUGCACAGGAGUUCACAGAAGUGAUAUGAUCCAAAGUUGCUGAGGGAAAAGCCCUUAUUUGUGGAAUUAACGGCAGGUCUCUCUUGAGGUCAGAAUGAAUGUUAUUGACAUUAUUGUUUGUAUUGUGGUAAGGUAUACAUAAUGGAAAAUGUACCAUUUUGGCUGGACAUGGUGGCUCACGCCUGUAAU